AGUUAGGUCUUCAAAUUCGUUAACAACGUGGUGGUUGGUGGUAUUAGUUCUCUUUGUAUGGAUGCACUUAAUAGGUGCUUUGAUUGCGUCCAGCUAAUACUGGAUAUCACGCAAGCACUACUCAUAAUCGCAUUACAGGUGGUGGUCGGCGGCGGUGGGGCUGGUGGUCCGUGGCGGAGUUUUUUGACGAAACCAGUUUUGGUUUCAUCAAAAUUUUAGUUACGCAGGUAAUGGUAUUGACAGUUGUGGUGCUACUGGGGUGGUAAUGGCGAUGGUGUUGUUGACAUCGGUGGUGGUUGGCGUUGGUGGUGGCUAGUGGUGGUUGGAUUUGUUCGAAGCGGCGACGGUGGUGGUUUUAUGAAUAUUUGAUGGUGGUGGGUGGUGGAUGACGUUACCAUAAGUUGCUGGUUGGUGGUGACGGUGUUAUGUGAGCUGGUCGACGGCAUUGGCGGUGGUCCGCGAUAAUGGUGGUCGGCCACCGUGAUAAUGGUGGUCGGCAUUGGCGAUGGUAGAGUCAAUUCCUAACUUAAGAAGAAGUAUGAGAAGAAGGUGUGGGAGGAGGAAGCAGAGAAAAAAAAUGUGGGGGUACCUUAAUGCUUUGGAAUUACCUUAUAAAAAGGAAGAAGAUUAUAGUCAAUUCCUACCUUCUGGUCAACUGCGGUUGGUAUAAUAUGUCCUUCACCCAUUAUUCAUUUUUUGUCUAAGAUUUGGCUUCUUGGUCCCCAGUUUACAUGUUGAUUGUAGUGCCUUACUGACAUGUAUAUGCCUUUUUGGCUUGGCAAUUUUAUCAUUUGCAAUUUCUGGGUUUACCUUCGUUUCAAAAACUCUUGACUGAAGAAGACAAGAAGGUUUGACUCUGAUACGUGAACUGAAAUUUAUAACCCUAUAUGAUUAUGUUUCAUGAUA